AACAAUUUGUUUAAUGCAUUUCGAGCACAUAAUAGACAACCCAGAAUUUCCCCUAGCACCACUCAACUACAGGCCUGUUCAAACAAUGCAAGGACCGUCUGUACUUGCAUGGCCCCGCAGAUAUUCAAUGCCAUCGCACUUUAUGGCUUUUGAGUAAAAAAAAUCGCCUCAUUAGAACCAGUUAUAUAAGGACUGAUGGGACAUAGGAUACGAUGCUCUGUCUAGUCAGUUUUGCUGUUUCACUCAAAACAUUGCGAUCAAUGCCACGUCGUCUAAAUGGAAGCGGCUGGAUGUAUUGCGUUGUGUCGUUUGAUUAGGUGUGUAUCCUGCUUGUCUUUCAGAGCACUUCAGGCGUCGGUGUAACGCUCUUCGCUCAGCAUCCAAACCGUGCCACCUCCACCAACAGCCAGAAGAUCAGCCGUCGAUGGGGCAUGCGUUAUCACUACCAGAGCAACGAGGUGCCAUUCCAGUGAGAUUUCCACAAAGAGAAGUGUCAAGAUAAAAACAGAUGCACCACGGACCCUUUCAACCUCAACACCAGUCCAACCAAGGUCAAGUAAAACAUCCAGGUUAGAGGAGGAAGAGGACAGCAUCACAACACCACCUGACCCUUUGAUAUCUGGCAUUUGGAGAAAGGGCACAUCACAGUCGUCUGUGUGACACCCCCUCGCUGCAUGCCAGCACCCAAACCAAACCACCUCCACCACCACCGGUCAGAUCAUCUCGCUGAAGAUGUGUACAGUACGCUCCUGCCUGCAUCCUACCACCACAAGUUCACCCCAGAGGAUCUGCUGUCGACCACCAUUGUGAAAUCGUUGCAAUUAUGAAACACACUUAAUAAA